rnacentral:tRNA from 2 species
CGGGGCGUGGCGCAGCCUGGUAGCGCGCUUCGUUCGGGACGAAGAGGUCGCUGGUUCGAAUCCAGUCGCCCCGACCA